AUUGAACGCUGGCGGCAGGCUUAACACAUGCAAGUCGAGCGGGGAAAAGUAGCUUGCUACUGGACCUAGCGGCGGACGGGUGAGUAAUGCUUAGGAAUCUGCCUAUUAGUGGGGGACAACAUCUCGAAAGGGAUGCUGAUACCGCAUACGUCCUACGGGAGAAAGCAGGGGACCUUCGGGCCUUGCGCUAAUAGAUGAGCCUAAGUCGGAUUAGCUAGUUGGUGGGGUAAAGGCCUACCAAGGCGACGAUCUGUAGCGGGUCUGAGAGGAUGAUCCGCCACACUGGGACUGAGACACGGCCCAGACUCCUACGGGAGGCAGCAGUGGGGAAUAUUGGACAAUGGGGGGAACCCUGAUCCAGCCAUGCCGCGUGUGUGAAGAAGGCCUUUUGGUUGUAAAGCACUUUAAGCGAGGAGGAGGCUACCGAGAUUAAUACUCUUGGAUAGUGGACGUUACUCGCAGAAUAAGCCCCGGCAAACUUCGUGCCAGCCGCCGCCGUAA
rnacentral:rRNA from 1 species